rnacentral:rRNA from 1 species
CGGGACGGGUGAGUAAUGUCUGGGAAACGUGCCUGAUGGAGGGGGAUAACGACUGGAAACGGUAGCUAAUACCGCAUAACGUCGCAAGACCAAAGAGGGGGACCUUCGGGCCUCUUGCCAUCGGAUGUGCCCAGAUGGGAUUAGCUAGUAGGUGGGGUAACGGCUCACCUAGGCGACGAUCCCUAGCUGGUCUGAGAGGAUGACCAGCCACACUGGAACUGAGACACGGUCCAG